UACGUAGGGGGCAAGCGUUGUCCGGAUUUAUUGGGCGUAAAGAGCGUGUAGGCGGCUAGGUAGGUCCGUUGUGAAAACUCGAGGCUCAACCUCGAGACGCCGGUGGAAACCAUCUAGCUAGAGUCCGGAAGAGGAGAGUGGAAUUCCGGGUGUAGUGGUGGAAUGCGUAGAGCUCCGGAGGAACACCAGUGGCGAAGGCGGCCGCCUGGGCCAGUCCUGACGCUGAGCCGCGAAAGCGUGGGGAGCGAUCCGG
rnacentral:rRNA from 1 species